rnacentral:misc_RNA from 1 species
GAUGAAGAACGCAGCGAAAUGCGAUAAGUAAUGUGAAUUGCAGAAUUCAGUGAAUCAUCGAAUCUUUGAACGCACAUUGCGCCCCCUGGUAUUCCGGGGGGCAUGCCUGUCCGAGCGUCAUUACAACCCUCAAGCUCAGCUUGGUGUUGGGCCCCGCCGCCCCGGCGGGCCCUAAAGUCAGUGGCGGUGCCGUCCGGCUCCGAGCGUAGUAAUUCUUCUCGCUCUGGAGGUCCGGUCGUGUGCUCGCCAGCAACCCCCAAUUUUUUUCAGGUUGACCUCGGAUCAGGUAGGGAUACCCGCUGAACUUAAGCAUAUCAAUUAGCGGAGGA